CAAAAAAUUGGUCGAGGUCAAACAAGGGCCUAUAGAUGUAGUCGCUAUCAUCGAAUCAACUUCUCCGAGCAUUCAAGAUUAUGAAUGCAUACUUUCUAUCUCUUACGGUACUUACUAUCAACUCCAACGUAAUAACCCAAUAGGACCUAAAGGAGCAGGCUUUGGAGUCGUGACUUAUGACACUUGGGCUAAAGUUCACUUGAAAUUGAAUUCAGCAACUUCUUAUCUCGAAGUUUCUAGAUAUCCCGAACCCAUUAUUUCAAAAAAAAAGUGCCUCGAUUUAGAAAAAGCAUUGAAACUUGCCAAAAAGGAGCUUACAAAGAAUGGGAGAGAUAAAUCUAUAAAACAAAUAUGGGUUAAUAUAUCAGAAAAAUCAGGUGGAAAUCCGGAGAAAAUAGCGCAAACUAUCAAAAAAUGGGGGAUCGAAAUAUUUGUCCUUGCUAUCGGCUCGAAUAUCGACUCUAAGCAAAUAGACGCGAUAGCCACGGAUCAUGAUCACAUAUUUUGGUAUCCUGAUUAUUGUACCUCCUCACAAUCUCUCAUUGAAUUCGUCAACAAAAAAUUUUUAUCUCCAUUUUAAUUUUUUAAAAAAAGGGUUUAU